rnacentral:rRNA from 1 species
AGCGAACGCUGGCGGCAGGCUUAACACAUGCAAGUCGAGCGGGCCCUUCGGGGUCAGCGGCAGACGGGUGAGUAACACGUGGGAACGUACCCUUUGGUUCGGAAUAACGCUGGGAAACUAGCGCUAAUACCGGAUACGCCCUUAUGGGGAAAGGCUUGCUGCCGAAGGAUCGGCCCGCGUCUGAUUAGCUAGUUGGUGGGGUAAUGGCCUACCAAGGCGACGAUCAGUAGCUGGUCGGAGAGGAUGAUCAGCCACGCUGGGACUGAGACCCGGCCCAGACUCCUACGGGAGGCAGCAGUGGGGAAUAUUGGACAAUGGGCGCAAGCCUGAUCCCGCCAUGCCGCGUGAGUGAUGAAGGCCUUAGGGUUGUAAAGCUCUUUUGUCCGGGACGAUAAUGACGGUACCGGAAGAAUAAGCCCCGGCUAACUUCGUG